rnacentral:lncRNA from 10 species
ACUCCAGCCUGGGCGACAGAGCGAGACUCCGUCUCAAAAAAUAAAUGAAUAAAUAAAUAAACAUAUAAAAUUUAAAAAAAAUAAGUGGGAGAUAAACAUUAAGUACACAUGGACACAAAGAUGGCAACAAUAGACACUGAGGACUACUAGAGUAGGGAGCGUGGGAAGGGGUGAGGUUCGAAAAACUAUCAGGUACUAUGCUCACUCAUUACCUAGCUGAUGGGAAUGUUCAUACACCAAAGCUCAGCAACAUGCAAUCUAUUCAUGUAACAAAUCUGUACAUAUACCCACUGAACCUAAAAUAAAAGUCAAAAACAAUUUUUAAAAAGCACUUCCUACCACCAUGCAGUUCAUAAACAAUCACAAAUAUGGUAGGCUUGCCAAGUGCUUUUGUACCGCAUUAUUUAUUACCAUGCAUUUGUAUGACUGCAGUAGACUUUACUGAUUUUUACUUUAUAAAGCAUUGUAUUUAUUCAUUAAAAAAUAAAAGGCUUGAACAAGAAAAAACGGGAGACGCUAACAUCAUAGACCACAACAUAACAUGCGAAGUACAAGAAUGACAAAUAUUAUGUUUUGGCUCUCUUUACUAUAUGAGAGUCUCCUUUGGGACCGCAUUUCAGAAAUUCUUGAUUUAGAGUAACAUAUCUUUUUUUUUUUUUUUUUUCUAGACAAAGUCUCGCUGUGUCACUCAGGCUGGAGUGCGGUGGCACGAUCUUCGGUUCAAGCACCACUGCCUCCCAGGUUCAAACGAUCCUCCUACCUCAGCCUUCAGAGUAGCUGGGAUUACAAGUGUGUGCCACCACGCCAAGCCUAGAGUAACAUUUCUUUUAACUGAGGUGGUAUUUAUAAAAAAUAUACCCACACAUCGUUGUUAAAAGAAGUAGAAUUUUUGAAUGAGGUUGUUUUCUGCAUUCAAAUGCUAAUGAAACUCUGACCAAAGCAAUAAGUAAUAAAUGAAUUACAAUGGAGUAUUAAAGGACAACAUUAUUUUGAAUUGGAAGACGUUAGUCAGACUUUCAGGAUUAUUAAUAAUCUGAGAUUUGUGUAUUUAUAUAAGAUUAACAGUGUGAAAUUGGAUAACAUAAUAUAUUCCUCAUAAUGUCUUAUGUAAGUCUUACCAGCUUUUGAUGAGAGUAAAUACAAGAAAAUAUACAAAGGAAAAGGUGUUUAAAUGAAAUUGGGGAUAAAGUCAGCAGCCUAUGGACCAUGCAAUGCCUGUAAAUAUGUUUUAUUUUUUCUGUACAUUAAAAAGUUUUUUCAGUAUUUUUUGGUUAUAUAACACCUCUAAUUUUCUAAAAGUUUCAUCACUUGUGUUCUUUAAAAUUAAUUAAUUUUAAUUGGUAAGUACAAAUUGUCUCAUCAUUCUUUAUUAUAUAAAUUUCUUAGUGCCUCGAAGCAUAUGAGUUUGCGACUUUUGUACAAAACCUUGCUGGUUUAGCAUUCAGCGAGAAAUAAGUUUGACACAUGUUCAUGUGCUCUCACUCUCUUCAAAAUUUGAAAGGAUGUUCAUUGCAGUGGUAAUCCAGUAACCUGGGGAAGUAAAGCUUACAUUUUUAAAAAAGCAUUCUAUACAUUGAAGCUGAAGAAAGAACACUUAAAUCCACACUUUGAAAACAUAUCUGAUGACCUAAUUCCUAUAAAUAAGCAAGGAUUAGAGGCUAUCACUCCUGACAGACUUUACAAUUGAUCUGAAUCUUUUCUAGUUUUUGCUAUUCAGAUAACUCAAGAUGGAUGAUGAUACUGAAAUGCAGGUGGGGAGAUUUCUAAGACUUACUAUAUGGAAUGUAUAAUACAGAACAAAUAAAUUUGUUAAUCAUAGUAUGUGUGUAUAUAUAUAUACAUAUAUAUUUUUUUUGAGACGGAGUCUCCCUCUGCCACUCAGACUGGAGUGCAGUGGCGUGUCAGGUGUGUCACGGCUCACUGCAACCUCCACAUCCCAGGUUCAAGCAAUUCUCCUGGCACAGCCUCCAGCGUAGCUGGGACUACAGGCAUGUGACACCACACCCAGCUAAUUUUUUUGUAUUUUUAAUCGAGACAGGGUUUUGCCAUGUUGGCCAGACUGUUCUCGAACCCCUGACCUCAGAUGAUCAGUCCACCUUGGCCUCCCAAAGUGUUAGGAUUACAGGCAUGAGCCACCUUGCCUGGCCCAAUAUGUAUAUGUUUCUAAAAAUUUCAUCUUGCAGAUAUUUAAUUUGUUUUUAUUAACUCAAACAUGGAAUGGAAGCCCAAAGAAAUCCAUUUUAACACAAUGUAAAAUCUGUUGUUUAUAAAAGCAUUCAAACUGAAAAUAUUGAGCCAUUACCUGGAUCAAUCUUAAAAUAGCUCUUGAAAUGUUCUGAUUAGUUUGUUAGUAAUGGUUUACAAACUUCCUGGUAGUCUUUGUAAAACCAAGAUAAAGAGUAACAAGUCCCCAAGUAUUGGACCAGCUUCAAAUUUUCUGUUCUAAGGAAUAUAUUUAAAACAAGGUAGUUUUAUGGAUAUUUACUUUAAAAACAUUGCCUUAAGUAAGAUAAUACAAGAUAACACCAUUGAACACAACAAUGUUGGCAGAAACAACAUGAAGUCAUAGAACCAUAAAGCAGAACCUACUGCCAAUGUCCUGGCCCUACCUAUAUAUUGCACUGCCUCACAGAUCAGGGGCAUCAGACAUCACAUGCCCUCAAUUCAUGACUUGAGAAAGACUGCAGAAAUAUCUUGGGAUCUGCACUGUAGAUUUUUUUUAUCAGCCUUCUCUUCAUAUUUCUAUAGCAUAUUUUUAAUUUGCUUUGAGAGAUUGGACUGCUCUCAUUUACUGUAGUUACUGCUACUGUGGCCCUCUCUUGACCAUGCAGCAGAUGGUCCCAGGUGCUGUCUCAGACCUGUUUGUCCUCCUGGGGUCUGUACAUCUCUAUAUUUUUAGUUUCUGCUUAGCUUCUGACUCAUCUUUUACAGCUUGCUGCUGAACUUAACUAUUAACUUAAGGAUUUAUUGUACAUUUAAUGGUUUUUCCAUAGAAAACCAUGGCUUAAGUUUGGAAAUUGAAAGUAAGUGACUUCCAGCCAAGUUGUUCAUAAAUUUUCUCUUUGAUACAUCCCUUUUGGUUCAAAUACACAGCAAUAAUAGAUAAAGUACAGAACUGAAAAUAAAAUAGACAAAGGGCAACUAAGGACAAAGAUAAACAUCUUAAUGUGCCGAAGAAGGAUCAAGACUGUUAAGAUUAAUGGCUAAAGUGAAGUCCUGCUAGUUUUAAGGAUCAAGGAGAGGAACAGAAAGUGUAGCUCAGAACUCAGCAUCUGCAGGAUGAAGGAACUAAAACUCCUACAGAAAUGGACAUGAAGCCAAAAGAUGUCUGGUGAAAAGCAAAAACAAAACAAACAAACAAAAAUCCCACAAAUGUUUCCAAUAAGCUAUUACUUCCGAUUUUAGCAAGCUGUUGGCUGAUGAAGCAGGGGGACUCAUGCAUAGCCAUCCUCAUGAGGUGAACCUAAUGGCCCAGUUGGUCUACAUUUUUGAUAUGGUUUUUCUGUGUCCCCACACAAAUCUCAUUUUGAAUUGUAGUUCCCAUAAUCCCUAUGUGUCAUGUCAGGGACCAAAUGGAGAUAAUUGAAUUUUGCGGGUGGUUCCCUCAUUCUGUUCUCCCGAUAGUGAGUUGCUCCUCACAAGAUCUGAUGGUUUUAUAAGGGGCUUCCUAUUCUUUUUCUGUUUUUUUUUUUUUUUUUUUUUUUGAGAUGAAGUCUUGCUCUGUCACCUAGGCUGGAGUGCAGUGGCACGAUCUCGGCUCACUGCAAGCUCUGCCUCCAGGGUUCACGCCAUUCUCCUGCCUCAGUCUCCAGAGUAGCUGGGAAUACAGGUGCCCGUCACCCCACCCAGCUAAUUUUUCAUAUUUUUAGUAGAGACGGGGUUUCACCAUGUUAGCCAGGCUAAUCUCGAUCUCCUGAACUUGUGAUCCGCCCGCCUUGGCCUCCCAAAGUGCUGGGAUUACAGGUGUGAGCCACCACGCUUGGCCGGGGCUUCCCUCUUUACUGGGUAUUAAUUCUCUCUCCUGCCAUCCUGUGAAGAGGUGCCUUCUGCCAUGAUUGUAAGUUUCUUGAGGCCUCCCCAGCCAUGUGAAACUUUAAGUCACUUAAACCUCUUUUCUUUAUAAAUUACCCAUCUUGGGUAUUUCUUCAUAGCAGCAUGAGAAUGAACUAAUACAAUUAUCCUCAAUGUCAUUGCAGGCAGAAGCAGUGAAAUGCCAUCUGGAAUGACAGAAGAGCACAGGAAUAAUGGGAACAACCAUAAACUACUGAUCAUAAAAAGGUGAUUAAGGAGAAAUGGGUCUGGAACAGUGGCUCACACUGUAAUCCCAGUGCUCUGGGAAGCCAAGGAAGGAAGAUCCCUUGAGACCAAGAGUUCAAGACCAGACCUGGCAACAUAGCAAAACCCCAUCUCUAUAAAAAUAACAAUUAGCUGGGUGGUGUGGUGCAUGCCUGUAAUCCUAGCUACAAGGGGAGGUUGAAGUUGGGGGACUGCUUGAGCCCAGAAGCUUAAGGCUGCAGUGAAUUCUAAUCAUACCACUGUGCUCCACCAUGAAUGAUAGAGUGAGACCCUGUCUAGAAAAAACAAAAAAGAGAAAAGGAAAUAAAUAAGAACACAUGAAGAGAUAAAAAUAAUUGCUCAAAAAAAAGAAAGUAUUACUUAGAAUUUAGUGAGUUCUCCAUCUUUGAAGUAAUAUGAAUAUUGAGAUAUCAAACAGUGCGGCUAAGGUGUUUAGAAAGCCUCCUUUAAAAAGGAGGAGCCAGAUUAAGAUAAUCUUUGUUCUCACAAUAUCUCAGUGAAAAUGAGCCCGGAAAAUAAUCAUAAAAUAUAUACAAAAGGUACUGUAUAGGAGAGCAGCCAACAACUUUGUCAUUUGAACAUGAAAUCAUUCUUGAAAUGAUUAAUAAAAUAAAAUUUACAGGAAAUUUUCAAAGUCUUCAGAGUAAGUAUAUUUUAAAAUGUCAACAACAUAAAUAAAGGGAUUUUUUAAAAUAAAAAAGCAAUAAACUAUAAAGUAAAACAAAAUGGGCAGAAGUUUCUAAAAGACAAUACAAAGUGAAAUAGAUUAAGAGAUAUAGUCAUUGAAGUAAAAGUUCACUUAUAAGGAAGCUAAUCUAGACCAAAUGCAAACUAAGAGAAAAUUUGUGAUUUAAAGAAUAUUAUAGAUUGAGUAUCCCUAAUCCAAAAGUUCAAAAUUUGAAAUCUCAAAUCUGAAAUACUACAAAACAGAACAUUUUUGCAUGUAAAUAGGGUGCCACAGAUGGAAUUUCACAUCUGAUCUCAUAUGGUAACACACAGUCAAAAUGGAGGCAAAACUUUGUUUUAGCCACAUAAUUAUUAAAAAUACUAUAUAAAUUUACCUUCAGGCUAUGUAUAUAUGUGUAUAAGAUGUAUAUGAAACAUAAACAAAUUUCAGGUUUAGAUUUGAGUACCAUCCACAAGAUAGCUCAUUUGUAUAUGCAAAUAUUUCAAAACCCAAAAAUAUCUCAAAUCUGAAACACCCUGGUCCCAAACAUUUCAGACAAGGAAGGCUCAACCUGUACUGGAGAAUUUACUGAGAAGUCAAUACACAUCACAGUGACAAAAUUAUAAAGGAAAAUUUAUAAUCAACCCCAAUAAAUAUGAAGAUCACAAGUAAUACUUUUUAAAAUUUUAGCUUUUAUUUUUAUUCAUUUUGUAUGUAUAAAAAUAGGUGUAUAUAUUUUCAGGAUACAUGUGAUUUUUUAAACAUUUAUACACUGUGAAAUAAUCAAAUCAGGGUAAUUAGGAUAUGCAUUACCUUUUUAUGCUGGGAACAUUUCAAUAACUCUUUACUAAUUAUUUGAUUAUUGUUUACUAUGUCAGUAUGUAGUGAUUUAUUGAACACUAGGUCUUAUUUAUUCUGACUAAUUUUUUUCAAAGUUGAUCUGUAUUUCACAUAAACAUCAUCUUUCUAAUUGUCAAUGAUGCAUUUAUCACAGUACUGCAACACUGUACUUAAGAACGUUGAUGGUACCUGGAAGACUAAGUCAAAAUUUUAUUUCUGUUAAUUCUAGCCAAAUUCUAGGAAAGUGUAAAGGAGGGAAAAAGAAAGAAGUGUGAUGGAUCCCCCAUAGAUCAGAGGAGGGAAGAUUUUACAUUACCUAUUUACUGCUCUAACUGAGACAUGUAUGUGGUUGAAUAUCAAUUUGAUUUAAUAUUGGUAACAUCUGUGCUGUUUUUUAGGGUUCACCUAUAACCAAAAUUGAGAGAGUGCUAUAUUCUAUACCAAUGGUUUCCAAACCCUAUUAUGCUUCAGAAUCACUUAUGGAACUGAUUAAAAGUAAGUGAGCCCCACAACCUGAGUUUCUGAUUCAGUGAAAUUGCUGAGAGGCCUGAUAAUUUAUAUUUCUCCAAGUUCCCAGGUGAUGCUGAUGCUGUGCUGGACCAUAGAACACACUUUUAAAACCACUACUCUGUGUUAUUACUCAAACUAAGUGUUGUGGAGAAACAUUUUUCCCAAGGAAACGUAUGUGACUAGCCCUUUGGAAAUAAUGUUUGUGUGCCUGUUUUCUCUCACAGUCAAAUCAUUUGGUGGUCCUUAAUUUACUUUAUUUAUUUAUAUUAUAAAUAUGCAAAUUAUCUGGUAAUUUUUGUUUGGUUGGUUGGCAGUUUGAUUAGUUGUUUGGUGCAACAAAUUUUAAGAAGUGUAGUUAAAUUUAUUUUUUAUUUUGCUUUAAACUUUAUUCAUUGCUCUCUUUUCCACAUUUGUUAAUUUCACACAGAAGUUGAAUCAGUGUGUACAUCCCUAAACAACCUUUGUAAGGUGUUUUAAAAACCUUUGUAAGUUGUCAUGGAUUUGGGAAUAAGUGGCAAAGAUUACCUUUAAAAUGCUUGAAACACAUUUUUUUCACUCAUGUGUUUUCUCUCUGUUUUGCUGUUCUUUACUGGUUAACUAGAUCUUCAAAUAAUUGGAGAGUUAUUGUGUGAAAAAUUAACAGUUUUUCAAAACAAGAAAAACAGAAAAAGAACAUCUGUUUUGCAAAGUUCUGCUCAUGAGUCCGGUCUAUCUGUCUUGCAAUACAGAAAGGAAGGAUUUAGAGCCCUCAGCAUCCUUAGUGAAAUAUUAUCUGACACUUCACAGAAAGCAGAGUGGGAAUCAGUAGGUAUUAGCCAGGACCACAGUAUUCAGGGAAGCCAAAUAAUUAAAUUUUGGACACAAAGCAAAAGAAUGAGACAGCCACACUCUUACACACAGAACCUUAACCUAGAUUUGAAAGUAGAGGUAUGGAUGGAAAGAAAAAUACUUUGCAUAGAAAAAGAAUAAAUUAUUGGAGUAAACAUAACAAGUAAGAAAUGCCUAGUGACAGUGUGGCUGAAAAAAAGAAUGUCAAUAAUGAAAUUUAUAUUUGGAAGGGAAACUUCUCAAUCAUUUUUAAAAAUACAUUCUAUCAACUUGUUUUGAGGGUUUUGGAGGAGUAAAGAAAUAAGGAAGAUGACUAAUGUGAAUGCUGCAAUAAAAGAGAACAUCAAAAGCAAGAAGAGGAAAUAUACCACAAGCUGAAUGAAUUCAAAAGAAGUAACUUAGAGUUGAAGAUGACUUGAAAAAUUUAAGCAACUUAUCUCCCACAGAUACACCUCAUUAACAUUAACAAAUUCUGAGUUGGGAAGAAUUUUGCUUCUUAAUCUACACAGAACUGGGAUUUUUUGCUCAAAUUUUAUUUGAUUUUUAAAAGGCAAGAGACCAGUGCUACAUAUUUAUAUUUUUAUCUGCAACUAUCUAAAUUAAUACCUGUUCUCUAUAAAGUAGCCUAAAUCAUGUCGUUUUUGGAUGUUUGUUGAUGCCAAUAGAUAGAAUACCUUCCAAAUAUGUUUAAAAUUUAAGUAGCUGUGACUAAUUUAGUUUAAAUCCAGUAAAGUAUAUAUAAUUGUCAGAUGUCAGAUGAAUUUGGAAUUAAAAUAUAUUCAUAUCAAUUGUUGAAAGUUAUUUUUAGUAGUCAAAAUAGCAAAAGCUGAUGAACAACAACAUCACUAGGCAAUCAGUUUUUUCUUAUAAAAAGUGAUGAUUAUUUUACAGUUUUCACUUCUUUUCAUAAAUUUCAUUUUGUUUGAUGUGUUAAGCCAUUGUCUUACUGUGAGAAUAGUUUGAAUUUAGUAGAGAUGAGCUUCUACCAACCUUCAUGAAAGUGAUUAGGAAUCCUACACAUAUCUAUCUGUGAGAUUUAUCUACUUAAUACUUUCACUCAGUGUCAUAACACAGAGAACAGAAACUUCAGGAAAUAAUGAAACAGAGUUCUUUCGUUAAUAUCUAGCAGUGUGAGAGCAUGAUAAUCCAGAAAUGCUUAUUUUUAUUUAAAGAAAUGAAAUAAGUUACAUCUUAUCUAUCAGCACUUUUAGAAAGUAAAGUUAUACCUCUUCAGAUCCAAUCAUCUCUCUUAGAAUAUUUUGAUACUAUCUAUUUAUUACUCUCUGUAAAACAUCAAAGAAUUGUAUUAUUGUAAAUGAAGUAGAAUUACAAAAGAGUCUAACAGAUUUUUUUUAUUUAAAAAAAAAUCCAUGUGGGGAGUAUGUAGAAGAUCAACACAUAAAAGAGUAAGUGGAUGUCUUAUAAACAAUUAGUCAAAUACCAUUAAAUUACCAUAUUCAAGUACAAAAUGAUACUGUGUAAGGAACAGAAUGUAUGAGCUUAUUGUGGGGAUUAAUUUCUAACUCAAAGUUGUUUGGCGAGGAUAUGAGGAAUCUAAGCUUAAGAAAUACUUUAAAGCCUAGAAAUCUGUCUGGUUGCCUUGGAGAUGGAAGGACAUUUGAGAAGACUCUGUGGGAGAUGGCUUGUCAUACAGUUUUUAGGUUUAUGAUAAUAAAGAACUAAUCAUCCUCUUGAUUCUCACAAAUAAAGACAGAGCAGGGGAGUUUUUCAGGUAUUUGUCUCUAUUCUAAAUAGCCAUGUCCAGCAAAAUGAGUUAUCCUUUUGAGGCUCUGUUUUAGAGGGAGCCACAUUACCACUCUGACUCUGGUUUCUAGUUGAGUUGGUGACAUAUAGUAGACUGCCAGUUAAUAUUGGCUGAAUGAUUGUCUGAAGGCAGGAAUUACUUCAGAAAAAGGUGAAUACAGUCAGAGAGAGAAAUAAUUGUUUGCGGUGUGAUUAAUUUAAUUGACACUUAAACUAGAGGGGUAUAAAUUGCUGAAGCUCUUCUUGAGAGAAAGAAAAGCAUGGUAAAUAGAACACUUUUUUUCAGUCAUAGCCUGAUAGCAUCAUGAUCACUAUAUUUAUUGACUGAGUACUGUACAGUCAACAAAUACUUAAUGAACAUUGGUUAUGUGCUGCACACUUAGCCCAUCAUUCAGUGAAUCUUGGCCAAGUUUAAAUUUGUAAAUAAAAUGGUGGUGGGUCAGGGUUUUGGAAAUGUGUUUUCUGAUCUCAACAACAUGAAAUGAUUUGAGGGAGCCAUGGAUCAUUACUGGUAUCAUAUGAACGUUUUUAUCCCCCCUGCAAAAAAUAUUCUGAUAUUGAAGCCGAAUCCUCAAUGUAAUGGUAGUAAGAAGUGAUGUCUUUGGAAAGUGGCUAGUUUAUAAUGGCAAAGCCCUAAUGAAUGGAAUUAGGCUUCUUUAUUCCUUCCACAAUGUGAGGAUACAAUGAAGGCUUGGCAGUCUGCAACACAGAAGAGGGCCCUCUUUAGAAACUGAUUGUUUUGGCACACUGAUCUUGAACUUCUCAGCCUCCAGAACUGUGAGAAAUAAAUUUCUGUUGUUUCUAAGCUACUCAGUCUAUGGUACUUUCUUAUAGCCACCUGAAUCGACUAAGAAAAUCACCUUCAAUCUGUGCCUUGCCUGCCAUGAAAGAUCGCUCUAAAAGGGUAAAAAAUAAAAUACCACGUUUUAUUCUUCCAUGAAAUAUUAAGAUAAUCUAGAAUAAACCCUCUCCAACACACACACCCUUCCACACAUACAUCAUUGUCAAAGUGAAUUAAUGAUGACUCAUAAUAAUAAUAAUACUAUUAAUAAUAAAUCAUGUACUUUGAAGGAAUUAUUUUUAAUGUGGCUAUCAUUUCACAAUGAAGUGAAACAGGCAUCCUCUCCUACAAAUAUGGUUGGAAAAAAUACUGUCUCCAAACAGGUUCCCUAGAAGCAAAACCUGAGAUAAAGAUUUUUUAAUUUAUUUUGGAUAGGAAAUUGCUCAGAUGGAGACUACUUUUUGUCUGAUUCUAGAGUAAGCCCUAGAACACAAAUCAUAUCAGAGUUGAAACUUACCUUGAAGCAGAUGGUCUAGCUUCUCUCCCCGCUUCCAUUUCCCUGGCUAUGCUCUUUGGUUGUAGGAGGUGGUACAGAGUUUGUGGUAGAGGUAGAGGUGGGUGAAAUGAAAGGGAGUAUUCCUGUGAGGCAGCUCCCAUUGUCCAAAGGCACAAUAGCAUCCAUCACAGGUACAGAGUGAGAGUAACCUCCAGUGGACUUAGAAUAGCAAAGCAGAGCUCUGCAUUCCCUUUCAGCACUGAACCAUUCUAAGAGUGAUACUCUAGGCAAUAACAUCAAUGUUGCUGCUGGGUCCUGGUUCAAAAGAGUGACAUGUCUAAAACUUAGCUCUACUGUCAUAAACAGGAUUUACUUUUCAAGGCAAAAGUCAAUUUGAAGCAAAUAAUUUGAGAAAAGAGUUUGGAAGCAUUCCAUUUUGAAGAGAUUAAAGAUUAUUAGAAGAUGCAACAAUCAUGUUUUCUGUCUUUGAGGCUGUGGAAUUCACUGAACAUAUAGGAAUCAAGUACUUUUGUGAGACUUACAAAUAUUUAAUUCAAGUUUUACUACCUGUUGUAAUAAACUAUGUGAAGUUCACCUUUGAGUUUCGUUAUAUUAAAUUGAAAAAGCAUUU